AGAGUUUGAUCCUGGCUCAGGAUGAACGCUAGCGGCAGGCUUAACACAUGCAAGUCGAGGGGCAGCACUGGUGGCAACACCUGGUGGCGACCGGCGAAAUGGUGCGUAACACGUGAGCAACAUACCGUCCUCCGGAGGAUAACCGAAGGAAACUUUGCCUAAUACUCCAUGACAUCAUUUUACGGCAUCGUAAAAUGAUCAAAGAUUUAUCGGAAGACGAUUGGCUCGCGGGACAUUAGCUAGUUGGUCAGGUAACGGCUGACCAAGGCGACGAUGUCUAGGGGUUCUGAGAGGAAGGUCCCCCACACUGGAACUGAGACACGGUCCAGACUCCUACGGGAGGCAGCAGUGAGGAAUAUUGGACAAUGGUCGGAAGACUGAUCCAGCCAUGCCGCGUGAAGGUUACGGUCCUAUGGAUUUUAAACUUCUUUUAUAAGAGAGCAAUAAGGUGCACGCGUGCAUCGAUGAGAGUACCUUAUGAAUAAGCAUCGGCUAACUCCGUGCCAGCAGCCGCGGUAAUACGGAGGAUGCAAGCGUUAUCCGGAUUUAUUGGGUUUAAAGGGUGCGUAGGCGGAAUUAUAAGUCAGCGGUGAAAUUCACAGGCUCAACCUGUGCCGUGCCGUUGAAACUGUAACUCUAGAAUACGGAUGCUGUGGGAGGAAUGUGUAGUGUAGCGGUGAAAUGCAUAGAUAUUACACAGAACACCUAUUGCGAAGGCAUCUCACAAAGUCGUCAUUGACGCUGAGGCACGAAAGUGUGGGGAUCAAACAGGAUUAGAUACCCUGGUAGUCCACUACUGUAAACGAUGAUAACUCGCUGCCGGCGACACACUGUCGGUGGCCCAGCGAAAGCGAUAAGUUAUCCACCUGGGGAGUACGACCGCAAGGUUGAAACUCAAAGGAAUUGACGGGGGCC
rnacentral:rRNA from 1 species